rnacentral:rRNA from 1 species
CGAACGCUGGCGGCGUGCUUAACACAUGCAAGUCGAACGGAAAGGCCCUGCUUUUGUGGGGUGCUCGAGUGGCGAACGGGUGAGUAACACGUGAGUAACCUGCCCUUGACUUUGGGAUAACUUCAGGAAACUGGGGCUAAUACCGGAUAGGAGCUCCUGCUGCAUGGUGGGGGUUGGAAAGGUUCGGCGGUUGGGGAUGGACUCGCGGCUUAUCAGCUUGUUGGUGGGGUAGUGGCUUACCAAGGCUUUGACGGGUAGCCGGCCUGAGAGGGUGACCGGCCACAUUGGGACUGAGAUACGGCCCAGACUCCUACGGGAGGCAGCAGUGGGGAAUAUUGCACAAUGGGCGGAAGCCUGAUGCAGCAACGCCGCGUGCGGGAUGACGGCCUUCGGGUUGUAAACCGCUUUCGCCUGUGACGAAGCGUGAGUGACGGUAAUGGGUAAAGAAGCACCGGCUAACUACGUG